GAAUUUGAACCCCCGCUGCACCCAUGACCCGUUGCAGGGGAAAGGACCUGGGUUUCAAUGCGCAGCUGCAGGCUUACUGGAAAGGCAUGAAAGGCAUCUUUUCUCCCAUUUCCAUAGAACCUGGCUCCAAAUGCAGAGAUUUUCCAGCCCCAGUGUGCAUAAGAAUUAGCCAAGGCGCUGAAAAUAGCGAGUGGAGUCCUGCCCUUCCCAGACUCUCAGCUGGACGCAGGAUUCUGAAUCUUUAACAGGGACUUUAGGAGGCUCCGACGUGGAUGCUCCUGGCUCCAGAGCCGUCCAGCUUCCUGUUACGUGCACGUGUAGAUUUUAACCGACCACCUAUGGUGAGCCAGGCAGGAUCCACUACAGUUCAGUGGCCGAGCAGACGAGGACCUUUCCCCGGCAAGCUUGCAUCUGCACGGAAGCAUCCACCAUAAGCAAGCGAACGAAUCAACAAGGGAAGUGUGCUUCGACCAGCUCCAGAUCUGGCUGCUCCUGGAUCGUCCCGGGCACUCCCCUCGGCUCCCCCAGAAGAUGCCUCCUUGGCCUCGCACAGCCUCUCCUUGCUCUCCGUGGCACCUGGUCGUGAGGUACUCAUUUGCUUAGGCCUUCUCUUUUUACACGUAAGUAAUACCGUUUUUAGACAUACCGUACAGCAUCCGAAUAUGCAUUUGGUGGAUAUUAUUGCAGCCCCCAGUUCUCCCUUCCUAGCUCUAUGCCUUUGGCAGCCUCCCUGGAAGUCGCUCCCCAGGGCAGGGCAGGGCAAGGCUUCCCAGCCCUCUGAACUUGAGGCCUGCCCUGGCCAUUGAUCAAGUGACCGCUCGUGCGCUCCGAACACACAUAGGCCCCGGAGAUGGUGCAGGUUCUUCUUGCUCUCCGACUGUUGCGGUUCCCCAGGGAGCAAGGCUCAGGGCCUUGAAGAGCAGCCCGGCACGCCAGCCACACCCCGCUUGGCGCCUGAGCGGAGCUCGGCCUGGUCUCAUAGCAAGAGCCAUGGAUACAGUGAUGCGAGCAGACAGUGCCACAGCAUCAAGCGUCUGUCCCUGCCCCUCCGCUCCACUCCCGCUUCCCGGAGACUGCGCGCACUGCCAUUUCUGCGCGUGGACCCAAGACCCCGUGAGCAGCAGGGCACGCGUGGCUGCUCAGCACUUCGCUCUGUUUCACCUUCGAUCUUGGAGAGCCUUUCACAUCAUCACGGGCAGAUCUUUCCCGGGUCCAUAUGAGGCUCUCUGCUGUGCUGUUGGGGUCUCUCAUCGUGGUUUAUUUAACCAGUGCCCCACGAACGUCCACUGGGGGAGUCCAGGCUUCUCUGGCUUCAAAGGCAGCAGCAGAGCCGAGGUGGACUUGCGAAAUUGUGUCUGUGGCUGCGUUCCCCAAGAGAGCAUUGUCUGGUCUCCCGCCUCUGGGUGGCUGAGCUUGUCCAUGGCUCCUAGUGCCCGUCCAGUCCUCUAUUAUCUGUGCCGCUCCCAUCUUCAAAACCCCACACAGAGUCCAACAACGAUGACCAUCGGCCCAUCGUCCCCCUUCCUUUAGCUGUGCCCGGCCACUCACACUUCUUGAAAAGCGUGAAUGAGAGGGGAAGAGAGAGCA